rnacentral:rRNA from 1 species
UACGAGGGGGGCAAAUGUUGUUCGGAAUCACUGGGCGUAAAGGGAGCGUAGGCGGGUUCUUAAGUUAGGUGUUUAAUCCCGGGGCCCAACCCCGGGACCGGCACUUAAAACUGGGAAUCUUGAAUAGUGGAGAGGUCAGUGGGAAUUGGGGUGUAGCGGUGGAAUGCGUAGAGAUCCCCAAGAACACCAGUUGCGAAGGCGGAGCUGACUGGACACAUAUUGACGCUGAGGCUCGGAAAGCAUGGGGAGCAAACAGG